rnacentral:rRNA from 1 species
GUUAGGAAUAUUGGACAAUGGGCGAAAGCCUGAUCCAGCCAUGCCGCGUGAACGAUGAAGGCCUUCGGGUUGUAAAGUUCUUUAGCCGAUGAUUAUAAUGACUGUAGUCGGAAAAUAAGCCCCGGCUAACUUCGUACCAGCAGCCGCGGUAAUACGAAGGGGGCGAGCGUUAUUCGGAAUCACUGGGCGUAAAGCGUGCGUAGGCGGUUUUGUAAGUUAGGAGUGAAAGCCCAGGGCUCAACCUUGGAAUUGCUCUUAAAACUGCAAGGCUCGAAUCUCGGAGAGGAUAGCGGAAUUUCCAGUGUAGCAGUGAAAUGCGUAGAUAUUGGAAGGAACACCAGUGGCGUACGCGGCUAUCUGGACGAGUAUUGACGCUGAGGCACGAAAGCGUGGGGAUCAAACAGGAUUAGAAACCCCAGUAGUCC